AGUGAACGCUAGUGGCGUGCUUAACACAUGCAAGUCGAACGGACGAUAUUUGUGCUUGCACAAAUAAAGUUAGUGGCAAACGGGUGAGUAAUACAUGAGAAUUUUCCUUGCAGUACGGAAUAACUAUUGGAAACAGUAGCUAAUACCGUAUAUUGCCGAGAGGUGAAAGAUUUAUCGCUGCAAGAUAAGCCCAUGCAAGAUUAGCUUGUUGGUAAGGUAAUGGCUCACCAAGGCGAAGAUCAGUAGCUGGCCUGAGAGGGCGGCCAGCCACAUUGGGACUGAGACACGGCCCAAACUCCUACGGGAGGCAGCAGUGGGGAAUCUUCUGCAAUGGGCGCAAGCCUGACAGAGCGGCGUCAUGUGAAGGAAGAAGGCCUGAAAUAGGUUGUAAACUUCUUUUACUGAGUAAUGAAUACUGACAACGCAGUAAAAAAGUAUCGGCUAACUCCGUGCCAGCCGCCGCAGUAAGAC
rnacentral:rRNA from 1 species